rnacentral:guide_RNA from 1 species
ACUGUAUCGAAGGGGUGAGAUGCCCCGUAGCUCGUAGUGAGU